UAACUGAACCGGACAACGUCAUCAUAUCAAGAAGUCGGAGCUUUCCCGCUUCUUUCCUACGCCUUUGAGAUG
rnacentral:lncRNA from 1 species